AGAGUUUGAUCCUGGCUCAGGAUGAACGCUAGCUACAGGCUUAACACAUGCAAGUCGAGGGGCAGGCAUGGUCUUAGCUUGCUAAGGCCGAUGGCGACCGGCGCACGGGUGAGUAACGCGUAUCCAACCUGCCUUACACUCUUGGACAGCCUUCUGAAAGGGAGAUUAAUACAAGAUGUUAUCAUGAGUAAGCAUUUUCGCAUGAUUAAAGGUUUACCGGUGUAAGAUGGGGAUGCGUUCCAUUAGAUAGUAGGGCGGGUAACGGCCACCUAGUCUUCGAUGGAUAGGGGUUCUGAGAGGAAGGUCCCCCANAUUGGAACUGAGACACGGUCCAAACUCCUACGGGAGCA
rnacentral:rRNA from 1 species